rnacentral:misc_RNA from 1 species
CCAGUGGAUUGAUCUUCAGGAAUCAUGCCACCUCCUUUGCUCGUGUCUGUUGCUUCUAGUAGCCUCACUACCUCGUCCAUCUCUGGACGUUUGUCUGGAUUUGCAUCCCAACAUUUUCUCAUGAUACUUGCAAGUGAAUUUGGGCAACAUCGAGGGAUUUCUGGACGCAAAUUCUGUCGAACAACUUGAGAUGAAACUUCAGCAAAGCUAAGAUCGGGAUAAGGCAUGUCACAGCAAUAAAUUUCCCAUAAGCAUAUACCAAAGCUGUAAACAUCACAUUUCCGAUUGUAAGGCUUACCAUCAAGAACCUCUGGGGCCAUGUAUCC